UACGGGAGUGGCAAGCGUUAUCCGGAAUUAUUGGGCGUAAAGCGUCCGCAGGCGGCCUGAUAAGUCUGUUGUCAAAGCGUGGAGCUUAACUCCAUUUCGGCAAUGGAAACUGUGAGGCUUGAGUGUGGUAGGGGCAGAGGGAAUUCCCGGUGUAGCGGUGAAAUGCGUAGAUAUCGGGAAGAACACCAGUGGCGAAGGCGCUCUGCUGGGCCAUAACUGACGCUCAUGGACGAAAGCCAGGGGAGCGAAAGGGAUUAGAUACCCCUGUAGUCCUGGCCGUAAACGAUGAACACUAGGUGUCGGGGGAAUCGACCCCCUCGGUGUCGUAGCUAACGCGUUAAGUGUUCCGCCUGGGGAGUACGCACGCAAGUGUGAAACUCAAAGGAAUUGACGGGGGCCCGCACAAGCGGUGGAGUAUGUGGUUUAAUUCGAUGCAACGCGAAGAACCUUACCAGGGUUUGACAUCCUGCGAAUCCCUUGGAAACUUGGGAGUGCCUUCGGGAGCGCAGUGACAGGUGGUGCAUGGCUGUCGUCAGCUCGUGUCGUGAGAUGUUGGGUUAAGUCCCGCAACGAGCGCAACCCACGUCUUUAGUUGCCAGCAUUCAGUUGGGCACUCUAGAGAGACCGCCGGUGAUAAACCGGAGGAAGGUGUGGAUGACGUCAAGUCAUCAUGCCCCUUACAUCCUGGGCUACACACGUACUACAAUGCUACGGACAAAGGGCAGCAAACUCGCGAGAGCUAGCAAAUCCCAUAAACCGUGGCUCAGUUCAGAUCGUAGGCUGCAACUUGCCUACGUGAAGGAGGAAUCGCUAGUAAUCGCAGGUCAGCAUACUGCGGUGAAUACGUUCCCGGGCCU
rnacentral:rRNA from 1 species